CUGCAGCCAACACAUCCGACCGUGCUCUCUGGCCUGUGGGGCCCUGUGUGUGCUAGAGGCACCCAGCAGUUCCCGCGGGAAUGUCCACAGCCGGCUGCUUGUAAAGGCCGCCCUAAGGAACCCCCGAGACAGCC